UACGUAGGGUGCAAGCGUUGUCCGGAAUUAUUGGGCGUAAAGAGCUCGUAGGCGGCUUGUCACGUCGGGUGUGAAAGCCCGGGGCUUAACCCCGGGUCUGCAUUCGAUACGGGCUAGCUAGAGUGUGGUAGGGGAGAUCGGAAUUCCUGGUGUAGCGGUGAAAUGCGUAGAUAUACGGAGGAACACCAGCGGCGAAGGCGGGUAGCUGGGCCAACACUGACGCUGAUGCGCGAAAGCUAGGGGAGCAAACGGG
rnacentral:rRNA from 1 species